CUAAACCACAACCGCAAGCCACUCUAGACCACUAGGCCAUCCCAACCCCCCCUACGGCAAAACAGCAAUAUAUAGGUUAAAUCCCGCUGGUUGCACGGGACUCCGUGGAUAGGUGGAAGUAGUCCCGGUUAUCCUGACGGACACCUGUAUUAUACAGGGCAAAAUCACAACAUCUCCAUGCCAUUGAGAUGUAACGUCGAUAUGAGGUUGGAGCUGUGGCCCAUCAAACCUCGAUUAUUAACACAAAUUGGAUUUUGGAUUUCCUUGAUUUCCUCCAUCGUCCACACAUUGGGUUGUGUGACGAAUGCAUGGUUUAUAAACGACGAAAUUCGCUUUAAAGGAGGAAUAUGGACAUAUUGUUUUGAUGAUAUUUGUGGCUACUAUCCAAACAAAUCAAUGAAAGCUGAAUUUAAAGCGACAAGGAUAUUAGAAUGUCUUGGUAUAAUGUUUGGAACAGGUUCUACCGUUCUAUUAUUUCUUUACACAUGUCUACAACAAUCAACAAUAGUAGAAGCGAUAGCAGCCUUUCAUGCUUUAGUAGCAAGUAUAUUAAUUCCGAUUGGUGUAAAGUUAUAUAUAGAUGAUAAAUCACCCAAUGGGGAGUUAGGUUACUCGGUAGCAGUAACAAGUGUCGGAGGAAAACUAUAUAUGAUAACUUUUCUCUGUUUAUUAUGUGAUAUGUAUUGGAAGUCAUCUUGGAGAAAAACGAACCGUUUUUGUAAAAGAAUGUCAAAAUGGACGCAAACAUUUAUAAAACGUAUAUCACAUUAAUGAACCAACCAGCAAGUGGCCUAUAACAACAAAUUUUCCUGUGAUAAAUCUAUUGAGUUGCCUUACGAGCUGAGUAACCACCAGUAUAUGAAUUUGUCUGGUCAAACCACGGUUUAUUCAUUACUUAAAUGUUCAUGCUUCAAAAACUCAUAAUAUAGGGAGGUAUCAUUGCCAUCAUCUAAAAUAAGGAGAUGACAAUGGGAGAAUUGGGAGGUUCAGUAUGGGGGAACAGACUUUUUUGUGUUUGUUAUGUAAAUCAGUUAAUAGUGAGAACUGCCAGCCUUUAUCUAAUCUCCCAUAAUGUAUCUUUAAUGAUGUAUGCAUGAGCAUAAAUCGUGUAAAAAGAUUGUUGCGAGUAUGGUCAAAUAGACAACGGUCAUUGAAAAAAAUGGUUUAAUAAGGAAUAUUCUUAUGCAAUCCAUUUUCUUAUUGCAAAAGCUUUUGACUGUCAUCAUGUUUUCCUGUGAUCAUAGCUAUAAGAAAGUAAAAUCCUAUGUGGAUCAAUUGACUACUGAAACAUAUCAAAUUCUAACUGCCAAGAGGUCUUCAUUUACGUACAUGCCAAUGUGUGCACUGGACCUUGGGUUUUAGUCCCAUCCGAACCAGUAUACGUUGUCCCUUGCCAGGCCCUCUGUCCUGCAGCACUGAUACAGGGGAACCUGGCCACCGGAAAAUCACCAGGUUAGGAUCAGUCUUCAUAGCAUUUUGUCAUAUCAUAUUUGAAGUAUGCGUGUAUAAUUGACUUGUGUUUGAGAAAAACGUGUGUAUAUAGUUUAGUUUGAAGAACCCCAUACUUUUUUUUUUUCAUGGAUUGGGAUAACUCUUGUUAUUUGUUGAGGUUUUUUUAUUUUACUUAUUUUUACAUUUAAAAAAUUUCUAAUUUAAAAAAGGGAGAUAACUGUUGGGUUAUUGGAUGGUGAGUAGGGCAAGCAAUUGAUUUGGUUUAAUUAAUCAAAGUAGGCUGUCGACAUAAAAGAAUCAAUUUAUUUUAUUAUAUAAUUUUCCCAUUAUUUAGUCGAAAAAAAGCUUGAAAUAGUCAGCAUCACUUUAGAGAUAAAAAAAGAUGCAUAGUUAUCAUCUUAUAGUGCCUUUAUUACAGCAGUUAAACUGGGCAUGUUCAAAUGAGACUGUGUGUAGUCUUCCUAAAUUAUUGCUGAAGUACAGCCCUUUCAUAUUAUUAUUUACUAGUAUAUGUACUCGUAGGUCUACAUAUCUCGAUGGGAGCUGUGGUGGCUCAGUGAGUAAGACAUUGGCUGAACUUCGUUCGCUAACCCGAAGGUCCUGUGUUCAAUCCCAGUCUUGGCCUAGAAGGUUCAUCACUUGUCAAGAAUGCAGGCCAGAGAUCCUGAUAAGGGAUAAUGUAUAGUUGUUUGGAUUGAAAGAAAAACAGAAUUGAGAAUAGUGUAGAUUGUAGCGCCACUACCCGGGCUUAAACCUCAUUUCAUUUACAUAUCUCAGUGUACCUCCUGUACCACAUGAUUUGAUCUUAAUGUGUUUAUGAACAUCACUAUAUUUAUUUAUUUUUUGAUUGAGUGCUAAUGCUUGUUUAAUAAUAUUUGAUUGAAUAUUUAGUAAAUUUUUAAUAAAUAUUGAUUGUGGUUGGGAUACUUCAUGGGCUUCCUUGUUCAUAUCAAAGUUAUCCAUCAUAAACCUGAAGUUGGUUUAAACAAACCUUAUACAAGAGCUAAAUCUGCCUAUUGCAAGUCUUUAUUUAGGCUUCAGAUGUUAUAGAAAUUAUUAAUUAGACCUUUAUUUACACGACAAGCUCAAAAUCAACUCUGUAGACCCACGGAUGGCAUGGAUACAGUUUGGAUUUAAACAGUCGUCCAUUUAAAAUUAAAUCAAUACAUGGUGGACCAAGCUAACAUUUACCGUUAGUCGCUGAUGUCACUACCGAAAACUGAUGAUGAAAGGCCUGCCAAGCGAGGCUACCAUAGCCAUCGAUCAUGUUACUUGAUAAUCGAGAAUAUGUGGGUGGAGUUAUCGUCUGUCACUUAAACGAUCGCCAAUUCUCAUAGACGGGCAGACAUAAUUGAUGCCUAUUUCUAGUCCAAACUUCACACCGUGACAAUUCCGUUCAGAACAAAGUUAUUUUUUAAUUACAUGUAUACCAAGAAUGUCCAACUCUUUAUAAAACUCUUAACUAAUUUAUCUUUAAACAAUAUUUUUGCAAUGUUUACACUUCUGUAACACUGUUCUAGUAUGUACAAUAUGAAAACAAGAAUAAAUAUCACUCAUAAAUAUCACUAAGGUUAAAGAUGCAUUAUCUAAUAUUUAGAUAAAGAGUGGACCUUUCUUGCUAUGAUAGUUCAAAAAUAGUUUAUAAUGAAAAAUGAAUAUUGGGAAUUUCAUUCAAAUUACUUUAUUCUGAGCGAAGUUAUGGCUGUUUGUAGAAAGGUAUCAAUAGUACUUGACAAUGAUUCAUCUUAUCGUUAAAUGUUUAAAGUAGCUAAGUCUCUAACUCAGUAUCAUCCUAAUUCUUUGACAUUGAAAACACGAUUUUUUUGUCAAUUUAAAUCAACAUUUAUGUUGUUAUCUUACCAGGUAAAGAUGGGCUUCUUAUAUCUAAUAUUUAAGACAAAAUAAACAUUUUGCCAUUGGUACACAAAUCGUGUACCAUCAUGCGUUUCAGCGCCGUUUGUAACAAGGGACUCUAAGAACGAGACUAGACAUAUUCCGCAAGUCGUGUCAAACGGUGAUGUCAUAUUCUUAUCUCGAGAGCAUGCGCAAUAAAUACUAUCAGUGUAGACUGUAAUAACCAGACGCUAGAGAUGACCAUUCGAUUGAGACUUCUGGCGUAUUUCGCCGAACAGAAACAAUUUAAAAUUAGAGUAAAAACGGAAGCGAUUGAAUGUAAAUCAGUUUAUAUACAUUCAUAUUACAUUAUUAUAUGCAUUGCACCCAUUUGUGUCAAUUUCUAAGUCCCGAAAAUUAGCGAUUUAGCUCCUUUAAAUCUUGGUCAUCUGAUGGUACAGCAAAUUCAUUAUAGGUUUGUCGUGUGAAUAAUAUCUAAAUAAUAGUUUUUAUAGGAUCUGAAGCCAAAAUAAAGGACGAUAUUGUUGUCAGUCAUUAUCACAUUGAUAGAACUGGUUUAACACGUUCUAAAUAUAAUUUUAACACAGAGAUCAUUAAUGCUGCGAUAGAUGCGUAGUGAAGGUUUCUACAAAAGGAAAACACAAGUUAUCCUUCUAUAUGUUUAAAAAUAUAUUUGGAAUGUGUUUAACCAGUUCUAUCACAUAUGUGACAAUGAGUGACACCAAUAUUGUCCUUUAAAGAUCUGCAAUAGGCAGAAUUAGAUCUUGCAUAAUAAUGCACCUUCAAUGCUGGAUUGGGAUUCUGAGGUUAUGGGAUUAUAAAUUCAAAUGAGUGACACCAAUAUUGUCCUUUAAAGACCUGCAAUAGGCAGAAUUAGCUCUUGCAUAAUAAUGCAUCUUCAAUGCUGGAUAGGGAUUAUGAGGUUAUGGGAUUAUAAAUUCAGAGUCACAAAUUAUUGUAAAUUAUAAUAAUCGAUUUUAUGCUAAUAUUGAUUUUAAAUAGUUAUGUUUAUUUUAUACAGUAUAUUUUGUUAAAUAUUUAUAAAUAAAACAGUGGUGUUAAGCAAA